rnacentral:rRNA from 1 species
UACGUAGGAGACGAGCGUUGUCCGGAGUUACUGGGCGUAAAGGGUGAGCAGGUGGCGGCGCGCGUGGGGGGUGAAAUCGCCCGGCUUAACUGGGCGGGGGCCUUCCAGACGGCGUGGCUUGAGCAGCGGAGGGGGACGUGGAAUUCCGGGUGGAGCGGUGAAAUGCGUAGAGAUCCGGAGGAACACCGACGGCGAAGGCAGCGCCCUGGGCGAGACCUGACGCUCAGGCACGAAAGCUGGGGGAGCAAACAGG